rnacentral:rRNA from 1 species
GACGAACGCUGGCGGCGUGCUUAACACAUGCAAGUCGAACGGAAAGGCCCUGCUUUUGUGGGGUGCUCGAGUGGCGAACGGGUGAGUAACACGUGAGUAACCUGCCCUUGACUUUGGGAUAACUUCAGGAAACUGGGGCUAAUACCGGAUAGGAGCUCCUGCUGCAUGGUGGGGGUUGGAAAGUUUCGGCGGUUGGGGAUGGACUCGCGGCUUAUCAGCUUGUUGGCGGGGUAGUGGCUUACCAAGGCUUUGACGGGUAGCCGGCCUGAGAGGGUGACCGGCCACAUUGGGACUGAGAUACGGCCCAGACUCCUACGGGAGGCAGCAGUGGGGAAUAUUGCACAAUGGGCGGAAGCCUGAUGCAGCAACGCCGCGUGCGGGAUGACGGCCUUCGGGUUGUAAACCGCUUUCGCCUGUGACGAAGCGUGAGUGACGGGAAUGGGUAAAGAAGCACCGGCUAACUACGU